rnacentral:lncRNA from 1 species
GUCCGGUGGGCCCCCGACACUCGUGUCUGCUCAUCGUCGGCGACCAGGACAACAACGUCGUCUUUUCUCAACGAAUUACCGACGCCAGCUUGAUACAAGCGGGCGAAGUGAAGCGAUGUGUGGUGGUGAAGCGACCUGCUGAAGCAGACGAGCUGGCCUUCAACUUCGUCUCAGAGACAUGGGCUGGCUUGGACAUCCAGAUCAACUUCACUCCACGAUACAGCGGUCCGCGAUGGCCGA